rnacentral:tRNA from 1 species
GGGGUUGUGGCUCAGUGGUAGAGUGCUCACCUAGCACAUGUGAAGCCCUGGGUUUGAUCCUCAGCACCACA